CUAGUCAAUAACCUGAAGUUCAGGCCCUAUCACAGAAUAGGGCCUGACACAAAACCUAUCUAAAGUGUGGGAUUCCCGUCCACCUGGUGGACGGGAAAUCUGAUUGGUUGAUCAGCAUCAUGAAGGAUUUUGAUUGGUUGCAAGUUCACAUAAACAACAGUUUUAAAAAUAGUUCGGUCAAGGCGAGAAUUAAUAUAAAGGUCAAACGCACGUAACAAAUUCCAUUAUCGAUUUCUUCGAAUUUCUUUUCUUUUAUGCUUUAUGGCAGAAAAUAAAUCAAACAAACAGUAUUUUGAAAGGGCUUCAUCAAAAUCUUUGACGAAUUUGG